rnacentral:rRNA from 1 species
AUUGAACGCUGGCGGCAUGCUUUACACAUGCAAGUCGAACGGUAACAGGCCGCAAGGUGCUGACAAGUGGCGAACGGGUGAGUAAUGCAUCGGAACGUGCCCAGUCGUGGGGGAUAACGCAGCGAAAGCUGCGCUAAUACCGCAUACGAUCUCUGGAUGAAAGCGGGGGACCGAAAGGCCUCGCGCGAUUGGAGCGGCCGAUGUCAGAUUAGGUAGUUGGUGGGGUAAAGGCCCACCAAGCCAACGAUCUGUAGCUGGUCUGAGAGGACGACCAGCCACACUGGGACUGAGACACGGCCCAGACUCCUACGGGAGGCAGCAGUGGGGAAUUUUGGACAAUGGGCGCAAGCCUGAUCCAGCAAUGCCGCGCGCAGGAAGAAGGCCUUCGGGUUGUAAACUGCUUUUGUACGGAACGAAACGGCUCUGGUUAAUACCUGGGGCUAAUGACGGUACCGUAAGAAUAAGCACCGGCUAACUACGUGCCAGCAGCCGCCGUAACAC